rnacentral:rRNA from 1 species
GAUCAUGGCUCAGAAUCAACGCUGGCGGCGUGCCUAACACAUGCAAGUCGAACGCGAAAGUCCCGCAAGGGGGCGAGUAGAGUGGCGGACGGGUGAGUAACACGUGGGUGACCUGCCCGGCUGAGGGGGAUAACUUCUCGAAAGGGAAGCUAAUACCGCAUAAGCUCUUGGUAGCGAUAUUGAGAGGAAAGCCGAAAGGCGCAGCAGGAGGGGCCCGCGCUCGAUUAGCUAGUUGGUGAGGUAAGGGCUCACCAAGGCUGCGAUCGAUAGCCGGUCUGAGAGGACGGACGGCCACACUGGAACUGAGACACGGUCCAGACUCCUACGGGAGGCAGCAGUGGGGAAUUUUGCGCAAUGGGCGAAAGCCUGACGCAGCAACGCCGCGUGGAGGAUGAAGGUUUUCGGAUCGUAAACUCCUGUCCCCAGGGAAGAAGAAAGUGACGGUACCUGGGGAGGAAGCCCCGGCUAACUCCGUGCCAGCAGCAGC